CCUUGCAAUCUCCCGCCCAAAAUGCAUGCAGUAACCGCCUAAAAUGCAUGCCUGCCCAAAAUCCAUGCAAUACAAUUAAAUAAACAUGCAAGAGGCUCAAUAUUCAAAACAAUUAUUACAGCCACCGCCCAACAAAAAUGAAUUACUAGCAAAUAGUAACAAUUAUUACAAUCGCCCACUUUUCGAUGACAAUAUAACAAUUUUCUAUGUCAUAUAUAGUAUAAUAUUAUUCAGGCUACAACAUGCUACAGAAUUUGAAAGGUUGCUCCAUCCUUAUAAAUAAACAUUAUAUACAAAAGCCUAACAAUUUUGCAAAAAGCUGUCAAAUUACAUACAAGGAAUCUCUUCUCACCGUCCAGAAAAUCAGCAAACAUCACAAAUCCUGCAACCACAAAAGAUUUCAAAAGUAAGUAAACACACUAUCGGUAAAAUCUAAUUUAUCAAUACAUGUUUCGAUUUUUAUUUCGACAAAACAAGUUCCUAUCAUUCUUUUUCACACUCAAACAAGAAUAAAUAAUAUACUUUGUUGCUUUGUAGAUUUUUGAGCUUCAUAUUUGGAUUCAUGCCCAGUAUGUGGUCUUCCAUUUGUGAUUUAGAUGACUCAAGAACCACAUUUGGCGUCAAAGUUCGACUGGUCCGCUCCUAUGGAAAUCCUUCAUUUACAAACAAAGAAGAAAUCGUUAGUUGGAAAUGCAUUCUUCAUGAUUUUCAAGUAUGAGAACUUUGAAAAAUUAUCAUUUGUAGCCCCCAAAUUUCUUAAGAGCAGUGCACACAUUUUCCAUGAAAAACUAACAUUCUUUUUUAUAUGAUUUGUAUAAGGAGAUAGAAUUGAGGCUACCAUUCCCAAGAAUCUCAUUUCCACCUUCAAAGAUCAAUUGGUGGAAGGAUUGGUGUAAUGGAAUAAAAAAUUUCAAGGUCGUGCACAAC
rnacentral:lncRNA from 1 species